UAAUAACGUAACUUCACGGAUCCACUAAAUCCCUCUAAAACCCUACAAAUUAGGCUACGAACCCAUUGUAGAAGAAGAAGAAGAACAAGCUUCUUGUCGCUUUCAAGCUGUGUCUCCAUUUCUGCCUUGUUUUGGGUCGCAAUGGCGAAGCGUCUGAUCCCGUUAUUCAAUCGCAUUCUGGUUGAGAAAAUUGUUCCUCCUUCUAAGACCAACUCCGGGAUCAUUCUUCCGGAGAAAACCACCAAGCUUAACUCUGGAAAAGUUGUUGCUGUUGGCCCAGGAGCUCGGGACAGAGAUGGGAAACUUAUUCCUCUACAUGUGAAGGAAGGAGACACAGUUCUUUUGCCUGAAUAUGGAGGAACUGAAGUGAAGCUCAAUGAUAAGGACUUUAGAACAAUUCAUUGAAUUUCAUUUCAAUGGCAGAGCAUAGAAUUGCACAUGUCCUGUUCGUUUGCGUUGGAGCCAAGCUCUUAAAGGAACCAAUAAUAGUGAAUGAUUGAUGUUAAUGCUGUGAGGUAUUGAUGGUGCCUGAGGUUAUGAAGUGUAGUUGAGAAUUGAGAUCAGGGUGAGACAUGAGUAAAGGGCAGAGAGAGUGUUAGGGAGUUGAAGAACCAGAUAUAGUUUACAUCUAAGAAUUCCCGAUGUUAAUGUUCUACCAAAAGGCAUCUUCGGGGAAAAACUGGAAAGCGAUUCCAUAAAAUUGGGAAUGAGUUUGAUAGACUAUGACGAAGAUCGAAGUUAUCAUUACAGAAAAUUGUCGAUGCAGCUGGAAAGAAGCAGUCAAUUAGAUGAGCUUGGGCUUGGAGAUUUGUUAUAAAGGUCUGAUUUGAUAGGACUAGAUGGAUUAGAGGGUGUGAAUAGUGUUGCUUAUGAAUUAGAUAAAGAGGGUUUUCCACAUUGUAAGCAUCUUAUAGUUGCACAUAACGCUAGCAUUCUGUACAUCGUAAACUCGGUUGGACAAACUGCCUUUCUGAAUUUGGAGAUUUUGAGACUUGAAAGAUUGGUGAAGUUGGAAAAGAUUUGCUGUGGAAGACUCGCACCGGACUCUUUUCGCAAUUUGAGGUGGCUUACUGUAAUUCGAUGUGAUAGGUUGAAGAGUAUCUUCUGUUUCUCCAUAGCCAAACUUCUUGAGGAAAUUGAUGUGAUAGAUUGCGAGAUGAUAGAGGAGAUAGUUGACAACGAUGAAGCCAUUAAUGCUAAGAUUGAGUUUCCUCGUUUGCGCUCAUUACGGUUGAGAGGAUUACCGCAGCUUCUACAGUAUUGCUCUGAUCAUCAACCAAAGAGUACAACUAAUACCAGUUCCAUUCCUCUUUUUAAUGAAAAGGAUCAGUUUCCCAGCAUGGAGGAAUUGCAGUUGCUAUCACUUAAUAGUUUGCAAAUGAUAUGGGACAUGCAACUUCUUGAAAAGUUUGAUAAUAAUUUAAGGAGAGUGACUGUGAAUGGCUGUCAUAAUUUGAAAAGUCUAAUGCCUUCAUCUUUGUGUGGAAGUCUCGUGCAUUUAGAAUGGCUGGAAAUAGGUGGAUGUAAAAACAUAAGAGAGGUCGUUUCCAAAGAAGAAUCAGAAGGACAAGAAAAGCCGGGAAAGAUUUUGUUCCUUCAACUUAAAUCUCUUAAGCUAUAUGACCUUUCAAAGCUUAAGAGGUUUUGUGCCGGAGAUUGUAUUGAAUGUCCAUCAUUAAAAGAACUAGAUAUAAAAAAUUGCCGAAAAAUGGAGACUUUCAUCAGCAACUCUCUUCCAAGUCACAUUGACAAUGAAAAUGAAGAAAUAGAAUCAGUCAAUAAACAACCUCUCUUCGUCAAGGAUAAGGUUAAAUUCCCAAACUUAGAAGUACUGAAGAUUCACAAGAUUGAUGUCAUUAGUGAGAUAUGCCAUGGUGAUUAGUCCUCAACAUUGCCUUUUCCGAAGCUAAAGAGUAUAGCGUUGGAUUCCAAUUUCUCUGAAUCAUAUAAAUUUUCAUUCAAAUUCGUUCAAAGACUUAAACAUCUUGAGCAUGUUCGUAUUUACUGUCUAUUCAUGGAAUCACUAAUUAGUUCAGAUGAAGCACAUGACAUACUCAUUGCAUUUAAGAAUGGAUUUGAUUUCACUUCCAAAGUUGAUGCAUCUGUGUGACGAAAGUGUCCAAACAUGCAAAACCUUUCGGGUUGUGGAAGUUCUAGAAGUAUGGAGGUGUGAGAGAUUAAAGAGCCUAAUGACUUGUUCAAUGAGUUUCCAAAAUUUGACAACUUUUGAGUGUACGUAUCAGAUUGUGAUGCAUUGGAAAAUUUAAUGGCUUCGGCAGCAGCGGCUCAAAGUCUGCAACAACUUACAGAAAUGAUACUAUGCAAUUGCAAAAGAAUGACACAAAUAAUGGGGAGUAAUCAUGAAGCAGAAUUUGAUGUUGAAACAGAGAAAAACGAGAUUGGGUUUAGCAACCUGAAGAUUUUACGACUUCAUGAGUUGUGCAGCCUCGGAAUGUUCUACUCUGGAAAUAACAUAAUAAGACUUCCGAAUUUGGAACAAUUAAUUGUGAAUGAAUGCCCUGAGUUGAGAACUUUUUCUCAUGGUACUGUACACAGCCCAAGGUUGUAUAGAAUAACGAUUAAACUAGCAUAUAAUUUGCUUAUUGAUCUUACGGAGCUUGUAAAAAAUUACAACGUGGAAUACCAGGAGUUUUGGAGGGUGAUGUUAAUACAACUCUACAUAAGCUUUGGGAGGACCAUCAAGCUGCUGCUAUCUCAUCACAACGCAACAUUACAUGAUAUAUUCAGAAUUAUCAGAAUCAGAAACAUCCAACAAGGAAAAAUCUUUCAUGCACUCAAACAUCUCCUUGUGGCGGCAAUGCUCUUUGGCUGUAGAUAUUGAAGUGAGCACAGUAACACUUAAAGGGUUUGAAUACUACAUUAAUUCACUACUUGAGACUUUUAUAUUUAGGAGAUUCUGUAAACCUAUCUAAUCAGUACAGUAUCACAAAUAAAGGAACUCAUGUUUCUAUUCUGUUUUAUAAUAGGGUACAAGAUUGGCUGUCACAGGGUGGCCGAGAUUGUUUGCUGAGUGGUAGCUUAUGGUUGUAAUUAAAGAGGAUGACCCAUAUCUUAAUUUGUGCUUUUAUUAGAUUUGAAGCCAGAAGUAAAGCUGAUUAAUCUAUAUGAAGUUGAUACACGCUCAGAGUACAUCCUCUAGACAUUGUGGUCAACAAUCCUGAUAUGGUUGAUCUUCUUUAUUAAUUUGUAGUUCUUUAUUAUAUAUUGGCUCAGUUGUGCGUGGGGAUUUGAACAGUUUCCAUUGUAUGCAUGUUGUGAAUUUGGCUGUAUGUCAAUUAUUUAUGUGUGUUAGUGGACCUGUAGUAUAUUUUAAUGUAAAAUAGUUUUUUAAAUCAACAAUAAAUUAUCAUUUUUUGAUUAGAA